UUUAGGAUUUAGGGUUUGGAUUAGGAUUUUAUUUAGGAUUUAGAGGUUGAUUAGGAUUUGGUUAGAGUUUGGUUUAGGAUUUAGGAUUUGAUUAUGGUUUGAUUUAGGGUUUAGGAUUUAGAUUAGAGUUUGAUUUAGGAUUUAGGAUUUGAUUUAGGAUUUGAUUAGGAUUUGAUUUAAGAUUUGGUUGAGGUUUGGUUUAAGGUUUAUUAAGGGUUUGAUUUAGGAUUUAGGAUUUUAUUAGGAUUUAAGAUUUAAUUAGUUUUGGCCUAGAGUUUGAAUAAAGUUCAAUAGGAUUUUAACUAAAAUUAAAUUGAGAUUGAAUUGAGAUAUAUUUGAGUGAUAUUUGUGAUCCUU
rnacentral:lncRNA from 1 species